GACGAACGCUGGCGGCGUGCUUAACACAUGCAAGUCGAACGGAAAGGCCCUGCUUUUGUUGGGUGCUCGAGUGGCGCACGGGUGAGUAACACGUGAGUAACCUGCCCUUGACUUUCGGAUAUCUUCAGGAAACUGGGGCUAAUACCGGAUAGGAGCUCCUGCUCCAUGGUGGUGGUUGGAAAGUUGCGGCGGUUGGGGAUGGACUCGCGGCUUAUCCGCUUGUUGGUAGGGUAGUGGCUUACCAAGGCUUUGACGGGUAGCCGGCCUGAGAGGGUGACCGGCCACAUUGGGACUGAGAUACGGCCCAGACGGCUACGGGAGGCAGCAGUGGGGAGUAUUGCACAAUGGGCGGAAGCCUGAUGCAGCGACGCCGGGUGCGGGAUGACGGCCUUCGGGUUGUAAACCGCUUUCGCCGGUGACGAAGAGUGAGUGACGGUAAUGGGUAAAGAAGCACCGGCUAACUACGUG
rnacentral:rRNA from 1 species